rnacentral:rRNA from 1 species
GAUGAACGCUGGCGGCGUGCCUAAUACAUGCAAGUCGAGCGAACAGACGAGGAGCUUGCUCCUCUGACGUUAGCGGCGGACGGGUGAGUAACACGUGGAUAACCUACUUAUAAGACUGGGAUAACUUCGGGAAACCGGAGCUAAUACCGGAUAAUAUAUUGAACCGCAUGGUUCAAUAGUGAAAGACGGUUUUGCUGUCACUUAUAGAUGGAUCCGCGCCGCAUUAGCUAGUUGGUAAGGUAACGGCUUACCAAGGCAACGAUGCGUAGCCGACCUGAGAGGGUGAUCGGCCACACUGGAACUGAGACACGGUCCAGACUCCUACGGGAGGCAGCAGUGGGGAAUCUUCCGCAAUGGGCGAAAGCCUGACGGAGCAACGCCGCGUGAGUGAUGAAGGUCUUCGGAUCGUAAAACUCUGUUAUUAGGGAAGAACAAAUGUGUAAGUAACUAUGCACGUCUUGACGGUACCUAAUCAGAAAGCCACGGCUAACUACGUG